UUCCAGAUACUCGAGUCGAGAGGAAGUGUUGCAUUGUCAGCAUGUUGUCUUUCAGAUGAUUUGUCAAGCUACAAGCAUUUUUGCCCUCACAUAUUGGUGUAAAAGUUCCCACGGCUGUAAUUGAUGAAGGGCAUGGGAAUUCGCCUCAUUUGCAGCCAACAUUUGACCCUCAAUCAACAACCAGAUAAUCUGUUCAUUUACGUUAUUACUGUUUGGACAUCUUACUGAGUGUGUUUGCUACAUUACAAAUCCUCAGUACAGUACUUUCUGCUAUAAAGUUGGAGAUGAAGAUGGAGUAGUCCAGAAUGCAGUACCACAAGAACUUUCCACUUCAGUUUAGUCUUCUAUCCUGAGGGAUAUUGAGAAGCAAUUGCAGCUUUUAGAGGACAACAGUAACAAUGCAGAAUGCAGCACGGUAGCAGUUCAUGGAAUAAGAUCUUAUUUGGCACCCUAUGAACAGCAUCUUCAUGAAAGAAGAAAAAAGGGUGAAGCAGCAAAAACUGGAUGCCUUUUAUUAAGUCAAACCCCAAAACAGUCAGAAGACAAUGAAUUACAGCCAUCCACUUCUGGAUUAACUAUUUUUCACCCUAACCCUGCAAUCACAACUGCACAUGGAGGUGAUGAUGAUGAUGAUGAUGAUGAUGAUGAUGAUGAUGAUGAUGAUGACGACGACACUCAGUCCCUAAAUUAACAACAGAGCAACCUUAAAAUGUUCUCCCCCAAAAAGUUAUCUUGACAAUUUUUCGAAUGCCCAUAUGGAAAACCUCCCUUCUACAAUUUUUGACAUUUUCCUUUGGAAAAUUGAUUUUCUGGUUGCAGCAGCAGCGCGAGCGGGAGCUUGGAGCAGGAGCCUGUCGGGAAGCCAGUUCACUUUAUAAUGUGUGUAACUGAACGAGCAACCAUUCAAUAAAAUACUGCCAGACGAGCACAGC